GUGUCAGCCGCCGCGGUAAUACGUAGGGUGCAAGCGUUAAUCGGAAUUACUGGGCGUAAAGGGUGCGCAGGCGGCGUGGCAAGAAAGGUGUGAAAUCCCAGGGCUUAACCUUGGAACUGCACUUUUAACUGCUACGCUAGAGUAUGUCAGAGGGGGGUAGAAUUCCACGUGUAGCAGUGAAAUGCGUAGAUAUGUGGAGGAAUACCGAUGGCGAAGGCAGCCCCCUGGGAUAAUACUGACGCUCAGGCACGAAAGCGUGGGGAGCAAACAGGAUUAGAUACCCUCGUAGUCC
rnacentral:rRNA from 1 species